AACGAACGCUGGCGGCAUGCCUAACACAUGCAAGUCGAACGAGAUCUUCGGGUCUAGUGGCGCGCGGGUGCGUAACGCGUGGGAAUCUGCCCUUUGGUUCGGAAUAACAGUUGGAAACGACUGCUAAUACCGGAUGAUGACGAAAGUCCAAAGAUUUAUCGCCAGAGGAUGAGCCCGCGUAGGAUUAGCGAGUUGGUGUGGUAAAGGCGCACCAAGGCGACGAUCCUUAGCUGGUCUGAGAGGAUGAUCAGCCACACUGGGACUGAGACACGGGCCAGACUCCUACGGGAGGGAGCAGUGGGGAAUAUUGGACAAUGGGCGAAAGCCUGAUCCAGCAAUGCCUCGUGAGUGAUGAAGGCCUUAGGGUUGUAAAGCUCUUUUACCCGGGAUGAUAAUGACAGUACCGGGAGAAUAAGCUCCGGCUAACUCCGUGCCAGCAGCCGCGGUAAGAC
rnacentral:rRNA from 1 species